UAGUAUUAUAAGGAUUAUUUCUUUCAUAAUUGAAGAUGUAUAAUUAAUAUCAUUAUGAAUUAUAUAAUAUAUGUCAUGUUGUGACAAUAGAAUAUAUAUACGUACAAUUUUAUUUUUAGUUUUUUCACCCUUCAAUAAAUGUCAAUGUCAGAUUUCAUUCAUGAUGCACAAAAUUUGGCUUUCUAAUGACUCAGUUAGGACAGUGGAUGCAUUGGAUGAGAUCAAUGUUAAGAUAUAUAAAGGUGGAUCUAAAAAUACUUGAUUAGAAUUGAUCAUUUCGUAUCAAAUUUAAAUGAGAAUUUAAUUCAUAAUACGACACAAUGAAGAAAAAUGAUUCAUAUAACAGGCCUCAAGCAGAAAGAAUUCAGUAUUUUCAUUUUAUCCAUUGACAUUUUUGGAGCUGUGGAGAUUGUGAACCAUUGUUGUUUUGUGUUGCAGUUUAAUGAAUCCCACCAUUGGCUGCCAGAAGAAGUUGGAGAUUGAUGGAGAUAAAAAAACUUUUUUCAGCGGUCAUGAGAUAUAUGAGUCGCGGGCGUCGUUCGGCUGCCGGAGUGAGGGUGUUGGGCAUGAGGCGCGGGCGUCGUUCGGCGGCCAGAGAUCAGUUGAUGAGAACACGAGGGUGAAGGCGCGGGCAGAAAGAAUGAAAGAAAUGAGGAAAAGCGAAGAAAUGAUGAAGAAGGGAGGGGGAGGCCAAUUUAGGACCAUUUUCGGCAAUCUCAUUCCGAAAAAUUUCACUUAAAGACAGUGGCUAAAUCGCCGGUAAAAGUCGCCACCUAAAGAACAGACUGUCGAUUUCCUGUAGUGAGCAAUACUAUCUCUCUAUAUCUCAUGUUUGAUUGCUUAAUCUUAUAUUCUUGUAGCAUACAUUAAGCUUAGGCCUUUCGCAACUCCUUUACUUUCAAGACAUGCAAUCAUUCCUCAACGAUAGAGAUGUCUAACUGUGGUGAUAAUAAACAUCAAUACCGAUCAACGGUUAUUGUUCGGCGGUGGUUGAUCGAGCUAUAAAAUUCUCUAAGAUCCAGAAUUUAUUAAGAUUAUUAUGAUGAAAUCACUGGAAGCAAGCAAGGAAAGGAUUUCUGUUCUGUCGAACUUAUGUUCUCUUUGGUUCUCUUCGCUUGAUCAACGACUAGGGCUAGAUUGGUAGAAUUUUCCUGAUCUUUCUUUGCAGCAAAACCUUAAUCAUCUUAUCCGAUUACAUAUAUUUUUAAUCUUUUAUUGCAUAUAUGUAUCACCUAAACUGAAUAACAAUAAGAAAUCACUUAUUAUUUUUU